rnacentral:rRNA from 1 species
UGGGGAAUAUUGGACAAUGGGCGAAAGCCUGAUCCAGCCAUGCCGCGUGUGUGAAGAAGGCCCUCGGGUUGUAAAGCGCUUUCAGCGAGGAAGAACGCCUAGUGGUUAAUACCCAUUAGGAAAGACAUCACUCGCAGAAGAAGCACCGGCUAACUCCGUGCCAGCAGCCGCGGUAAUACGGAGGGUGCAAGCGUUAAUCGGAAUUACUGGGCGUAAAGCGCGCGUAGGUGGCUUGAUAAGCCGGUUGUGAAAGCCCCGGGCUCAACCUGGGAACGGCAUCCGGAACUGUCAAGCUAGAGUGCAGGAGAGGAAGGUAGAAUUCCCGGUGUAGCGGUGAAAUGCGUAGAGAUCGGGAGGAAUACCAGUGGCGAAGGCGGCCUUCUGGACUGACACUGACACUGAGGUGCGAAAGCGUGGGUAGCAAACAGGAUUAGAUACCCUGGUAGUCCACGCCGUAAACGAUGUCGACCAGCCGUUGGGUGCCUAGCGCACUUUGUGGCGAAGUUAACGCGAUAAGUCGACCGCCUGGGGAGUACGGCCGCAAGGUUA